UUGUAAACUCCUGUCAGAGGAGAAGAAUUCCCGAGUAAUCGGGUAUUGACRGUAUCCUCAGAAGAAGCCCCGUACCAACUACGUGCCAGCAGCCGCAAUAAGACGUAGGGAGCGAACGUUGCUCGGAAUUACUGGGCGUAAAGGGUGUGUAGGUGGCUGAGUAAGUCAAAGAUGAAAUCCCAAUGCUCAACCUURGAAUUGUCUUUGAAACUGUUCAGCUUGAGGAUAGUAGAGGAGAAUGGAAUUCCCGGUGGAGCGAUGAAAUGCGUAGAUAUCGGGAGGAACACCAGAGACGAAGGCGAUUCUCUAAGCUAUUCCUGACACUGAGACACGAAAGCUAGG
rnacentral:rRNA from 1 species